rnacentral:rRNA from 1 species
GACGAACGCUGGCGGCGUGCUUAACACAUGCAAGUCGAACGGAAAGGCCCUGCUUUUGUGGGGUGCUCGAGUGGCGAACGGGUGAGUAACACGUGAGUAACCUGCCCUUGACUUUGGGAUAACUUCAGGAAACUGGGGCUAAUACCGGAUACGAGCUCCUGCUGCAUGGUGGGGGUUGGAAAGUUUCGGCGGUUGGGGAUGGACUCGCGGCUUAUCAGCUUGUUGGUGGGGUAGUGGCUUACCAAGGCUUUGACGGGUAGCCGGCCUGAGAGGGUGACCGGCCACAUUGGGACUGAGAUACGGCCCAGACUCCUACGGGAGGCAGAAGGGGGGAAUAUUGCAUAAUGGGCGGAAGCCUGAUGCAGCAACGCAGCGUGCGGGAUGACGGCCCUCGGGUUGUAAACCGCUUUCGCCGGUGACGAAGCGUGAGUGACGGUAAUGGGUAAAGAAGCACCGGCUAACUACGUG